rnacentral:rRNA from 1 species
UACAGAGGGUGCGAGCGUUGUCCGGAAUCACUGGGCGUAAAGGGCGCGUAGGUGGCGACCCAAGUCGAUGGUGAAAGCUCGCCGCUCAACGGCGAGUCGGCCACCGAUACUGGGUUGCUUGAGCACUGUAGAGGCUAAUGGAAUUCCGGGUGUAGCGGUGGAAUGCGUAGAGAUCCGGAAGAACACCGGUGGCGAAGGCGGUUAGCUGGGCAGUUGCUGGACAACUUGAGGCGCGACAGCGUGGGGAG